GACGAAGCUGGCGGGCGUGCUUAACACAUGCAAGUCGAACGGAGCGAAUGAAAGCUUGCUUUUAUGAGCUUAGUGGCAAACGGGUGAGUAACACGUAGACAACCCUGCCGAUAGGAUGGGGACAACAUUCCGAAAGGAAUGCUAAUACCGAAUGGCGUGGAGGGAAGGCAUCUUCCUUUCAUGAAAGAUGGCCUCUAUAUAUAAGCUAUCACCUAUCGAUGGUCUGCGUCUGAUUAGCUAGUAGGUAAGGUAACGGCUUACCUAGGCGACGAUCAGUAGCCGGUCUGAGAGGAUGAACGGCCACAUUGGGACUGAGACACGGCCCAGACUCCUACGGGAGGCAGCAGUGGGGAAUCUUCCGCAAUGGGCGCAAGCUGACGGAGCAACGCCGCGUGAGUGAAGAAGGUCUUCGGAUCGUAAAGCUCUGUUGAAGGGGACGAACGUAUAUAGUGCGAAUAGUACUGUGUAAUGACG
rnacentral:rRNA from 1 species